GUGAGGAAUUUUCCGCAAUGGGCGAAAGCCUGACGGAGCAAUGCCGCGUGAAGGAUGAAGGCCUAUGGGUUGUAAACUUCUUUUCUCAGAAAAGAAUUAUGACGGUAUCUGAGGAAUAAGCAUCGGCUAACUCUGUGCCAGCAGCCGCGGUAAGACAGAGGAUGCAAGCGUUAUCCGGAAUGAUUGGGCGUAAAGCGUCUGUAGGUUGUUUAAAAAGUAUUCUGUUAAAGAUUAGGGCUUAACCCUAGAUAGGCAGAAUAAACUUUUAAGCUAGAGUUUGGUAGAGGCAGAGGGAAUUCCCGGUGGAGCGGUGAAAUGCGUAGAUAUCGGGAGGAACACCAAAGGCGAAUGCACUCUGCUGGGCCAAUACUAACACUGAGAGACGAAAGCGAGGGGAGCAAAUGGGAUUAGAAACCCCAGUAGUCC
rnacentral:rRNA from 1 species